GAUCAUAUGCUCGUCUCAAAGAUUAAGCCAUGCAAGUCUAAGUUCACAUCAAUUAAAGAUGAAACUGCGAAGCGCUCAGUAAAUCAGUUAUUGUCCGUUCGAUCAUAUCAGCCAUGGAUAACUGUGGUAAAUCUAGAGCUAAUACAUAGCAAAUUCCGGUUAAACGGAAGCAUUUAUUAGACUUAGCCAACGGCCCUUGGUUCUAUCAAAGGAAUCAAAGGUUAAGGUGAACCUGAAUAACUGUGCAUAUCGGCACUUGUGCCGAUAGUUCGAUCGAAUUUCUGCCCUAUCAACUAGUUGGUGAGGUCUUGGCUCACAAAGGUUGUAACGGGUAACGGGGAAUCAGGGUUCGAUUCCGGAGAGGGAGCCUGAGAAACGGCUACCACAUCUAAGGAAGGCAGCAGGCGCGCAAAUUACCCAAUCCAGAAUUUGGGAGGUAGUGACGAGAAAUACCGGAGUUGAUCAUAAUGGUUAACUAUCGGAAUGAACGUAAUUUAGUACUUUCGAUGAGUAGCUACUGGAGGGCAAGUCUGGUGCCAGCAGCCGCGGUAAUUCCAGCUCCAGUAGUGUAUAUCAAUGUUGUUGCGGUUAAAACGCUCGUAGUUGGAUUACAAAAGCUCGAUGGGGCCGCAGCUCAAGUGGUUGCAGCGUCGUGGGGUUUUUUUAUCGCGAGAGCCGCGUGUGGGAUUAAUUUCUUGUACGCGGUCACUUGCGGAGUGUGCCUUGAAUAAAGCACAGUGCUCAAAGCAGGCGUACGCUCGAAUGUUAUAGCAUGGAACGAAUAUUUUGACCAGGUCGAUUGUUGGUUGUUGACAGGGUCUCGAUUAAAAGGAACAUUUGAGGGCGUUGGUACUUGGUGGCGAGAGGUGAAAUUCUUAGACCCACCAAAGACUCACAAAUGCGAAAGCAUUCGCCAAGAGUGUUUUCAUUAAUCAAGAACGAAAGUCAGAGGUUCGAAGACGAUCAGAUACCGUCGUAGUUCUGACAGUAAACGAUGCCAACCUGGGGUUAGUUUGUUUCUAAAUAAGUUGGUCCCUCGGUGAAAACUAGUUUUUCGGUUCCGGGGAGAGUAUUCACGCAAGUGAAAAAUUUAAAGAAAUUGACGGAAUGGCACCACCAGGAGUGGAGCCUGCGGCUUAAUUUGACUCAACACGGGGAAACUCACCAGGUCCAGACAUUGACAGGAUUGACAGACUGAGAGAUCUUUCAUGAUACGAUGAUUGGUGGUGCAUGGCCGUUCUUAGUUGGUGGAGUGAUCUGUCAGGUUUAUUCCGGUAACGAACGAGACCACGAUCUCUAAUUGAAACGGUCAUUUUGUUUUGGCCAAUCUUAGAGAGACAACCGGAUUCAAGCCGGGGGAAGCGUGGCAAUAACAGGUCUGUGAUGCCCUUCGAUGUUCUGGGCUGCACGCGCGCUACAAUGGCAGUGACAACGAGUGCCUGCUCUGAGAGGAGUGGGAAAUCUUGGAAAUCGCUGUCGUGAUUGGGAUUGAGCCUUGUAAUAAUUGCUCAUGAAAGAGGAAUUCCUCGUAAGCGCGAGUCAUCAGCUCGUGUUGAAUACGUCUCUGCCCUUUGUACACACCGCCCGUCGCUACUACCGAUUAGAUGUUCUUCAGAACCGUUAGGACUUGCCUGGUCACUGAUCUUUGAUCAUACCGGGCGGGGAAAAACCGUAAUAAAGAAU
rnacentral:rRNA from 1 species